UUUACCAUUCUUUUUCUUGAACAACAAAUAAGAUAUCAGUGCAUUUGUGCGGGCUUUAUUUCCAGUUUAUAUUUUGGAAAUGUUCUCUGGUUUAUAUUCCACCAUUAUAGUGUUUAAAAUAUAGCCCUACAAUACAUGCCGACGUGAAUAUGCGGGCUACCUUCCUUGUUUCACUAAAAAGAAAUAUGGGAUAAGGCAUAAACUCCUUUACUGAAAAAUCUUAAACUAUGGUGGGAUACACAAACUAUGAGGACCUGCCCCCCAAAAAAAACAAAAAAAAAUCAACCCUCACAUAAUACAGGACCCGGAACAUUAUAUUGAUCCCUGCUACUUCUGUACUCUGUCUAAUAUAGCUAUUUGUUGUGCAUUUGAACGUUUCAAAAGACAUAAUUAAGCUUGUCGACUGAAAUUGUGUCUUGUACAAGUCUUGUGAAAUUAUUUUACGAAAGAAGUUACGCUAAAUUGUACUGGGAUAUUUCCUUUGAUCACUUGUCUUGACUUUAUUCUACAUCCUCAAAUAUCCUUGCAAUCCAGUGUGCUGAUCUGAAAGAACUCCUUCAUGGAUGCAGUGCCUCCUCCGCGAAGUCUACUGGAGACUUUGCUGAUAUCACUUGAACCACUUACAUUCCACAUCCAAAUGGGUCUGAGUUCUAAUUUAUCAGCAAUUAAGCACAUACAAUCUCCUGAUGCUUCCAAUUCCCACAUUCAUCAUGAGCAAAAGAAUAGUUCUUGGUUUAAUUAUGAGCAUGGUGGAUGUGAAAAUCUUGAACCAAAGAAGCAAGUGGUGAGGCACACGUCGUAAGCAUGGUCACAUACAUCUCUCAUUGUGUUUAUGAUCUCCAACCAAAAUGAUUCCAUCUAGCAUAUUCUCAAAAGCCCAAUGACCACUUGAUAAGUAUUGAAAAAGCCACUUCUACAUAUAUGUUGGAAUGUGUGGAACAUGAAAACUAAUAAUUGAAAUAAGACAUAAGCUCAUAAAUGUUGUGCAAACUACAAAGUCAUGUGAAUGAAAAGUGCACCAUAUAUACCACUCUCUGUUUCUGGAUACACUUGUCGUUCGUGGUCAGAUUUGAGAUUUGCAAUGCAGUGCUUGUUUGAAAGAAUUUCUGCUCGUAUGCAUGGAAGCCGCAAAUUUUAACCAUUCAUUUCUGGGACAUUUUGAAGGUGCAAACCAAAAUUUCAUAAAUUAUUUGAAUUAAUUUUCAAAUCCAAAUUUGUAAUUAUUUCUGGGACAAAAAGUUUAGGCCGUACAAAGCUCAAUUUAUUCUCAGACAACACAUUAUGUUCAAAAUAUAUAAAUGAUCUUGCAAGCAAUCAAUCCUUAACAGCCUAAAAACAGUACAAACAACCGAUCUUUGGAGCAUAGGUUUAACAAUCCAAACAGCUUUAACAGUCCACUACAUAAGUUUUAAGCAAUCCAAAUAGGCUUAACAACCGGCAACAAACCCAUAGCUUCCUCACUAUUAUCAAGAAGUCCUGCAAAGAACUUGUUACUUAUCACCGCCUACUGAUGAAAUAUGGCGCCAUGAGAAAUUAGUUUAUUCAUUUCAUAUUCAUCUUUUCAUUUACUCCAUAUAAAGUGAUUUCUACAGUAAAUGAAACCUGCAAAUUUCUGAUUCUCUUUAUGCAGAUCAUGAAAUGCACACUUGUUAGGACGUGCUAUUGUUUCUACCUGCACUCCUUGAGCUCUAGCUAGUUUCUGCGCAAUGGGGUGCAAGCCAUUAUGCAAGUAUUGUUUCUACCAUGGUUGUAUCUUGCAUUUUUACACUCACAUGUAUACAUGUACAUAUGCAGAACAACUAGCACAGGAUUAAUUGUGGCAUAGAACCGGGAAGGUUAGGAAAGUCACAUGAAUCCAUAUCUACAAGUUAAUAUAGAAACGCAGCCAGAAAAAUUCUGAAUAUCCAAUAAUUUUUAUCAGCCUUAGAUGGCAAAACGCAAGCUGCGUGAAGAAAAUCCACCAGCACGUCCUCCAUUGCCUCUUCUACAUGGACAGAUGUCAGAUGAUAGCAUGACUACUCUCAGCAGCCGUGCACGCUUGCAGAUUGGAAGCACAAGAACUUUGAACCCUGAAACGCUGAGCUAAAGAAAUACAGGUUCUUCUGCUCGCGGUUCAGUUCUCUCAGGACAGAAGGUACCGAGAAUGCCUCAAUCUAUUGUUCUGCCCCAUGCAGUAGUUCCCAAUGCCUCCCGAGCCUAUAUUAUAUUAGCCUAGCUUCAAACAAAUUGGUGAAUUGGAGAUGUACCAUUCACAGAUAUCUGUGAAGAUCUUCAUCGAUGACCCCUUAGUCAGAUGAUCUUCGUAAAUAUCGUUGUGUAGUUGUGUGCUCUAGAAAAAAAAAACAACUAUUAUAAGGGACACAAUUUGGCCAUGGCAAAUUUAUGGACUACAGGAUGUGUCUCUAGCUGAUCUUGUUUUUUUUUCUAGAAAAGGUUUUUUUUUUCACCAGCCUCUAUAGCUGACCUUGUUAAAUUUUUUUUAUAAAAGGUAUUUUUUUACCUGGUCUAUAUAUUCAACGUAUAUAUAUGGUCUUUUUAAAUUAGGAGCUUAUCCCCUUAAACAACCCAAUCUGAAAUCCACUGCUAUAAAGAUUUGAACCUAGAACCAUGGGAUGCUAUUCAGGUCACUACAACCACUAGACUGCGUAUCAUUUCACAGCUGACCUUGUAUUUGUAGGGUGCAAACUAGUUUGAUUUGUUUUUGGUAAUUCAUUUAUAACCUAUGGUCUCUGUACAACUAGGGAUAUGCACAUGACCAUCUUUAAUAUAGGCAUUAAGAUUUGAACCCAGUGAGUCCCAGAACAUCAAUGGCUGGUGUGUUCUUCCAAAGUAUGCUUUGAUAAUUGGCUAAGCUUUUAAGUCGUAAUUGCACAUUCGUCUCAUUGAUUUCAACUUUCAAGGAAUACAAAACAGCACGUAUAUUUCUGCAGUCUACAAAUGAAGCAACGAAAUAACCUUAACUUGUGGUUAAUUAUAUACCCAGAAGCCCUUAAACUCUGAUACUAGCGUAUCACUUUCAGCACAUGCCAUUGUCCAAGGUUUAGGCGGUCUGACAAUAAUCGUCUUCUUUGAGUAAAAUCAAACUGUACCUGUGGUAGUGUUUGAAGUAGUAUUAUACAUCGGGACUGUCUAUACAUUUAUCUGAAAAUUACCUGAAAGUUACAUACAAAUUACACUAAAAUUAUAUGCAAGUUAGAAUGUAACUAUACUACGAUUACACCGUAUUUACGUUUGAGAAAUUUUUAGAAGAAAAUUUAUCGAUAAAUAUAUAAAAAAAUGUUAUACUUAUGUGGUGCAUCCACUACCAUUAAAGAAAAAGGCCAUCCCUGCCGGCCCAUGAUGACCAGUUCACAUUUAAUUCUGGCCUAGAUCAAUAAUGAACUGGUAGUGAGAAUAGUAUCACUAUUGGUUCAAGCCACACAUAAGGGAUUUGCUAGGUUGACCAAGGCGUCUAUUGACUUACAUACACCAACCAGUUCAACCCAAAAGUGAGGCCCUCUCAAGUCUCUACCGUGCAAUAGAAGUGAAUCCCCCUCACGAGAGACCCCCCUCAAGCCUUUAGCAUGGAAAAGAAGUGGGCUGCAAUUUUUUAUUUAAUAGUGCGCUAGCUAGGAUUCGAACUCGUGACCUAUGGCUCUGAUAUGAUAUUGAGUUGCAUGCACCGACCAACCAAAAAAUCUAAGCUGGUGAGGAAAGGUGGGCAAUUCACUUUAUAUUCUAUCAGUGUCCAAUACUGCUACAAAUAAUGCUUUUUGUAGGCACCCCCACUAUAAGAUCAUAGGUGGACCGUCAGCGAUAAGUUUGGUCCGAGUAGGGGGCAUGAACCAUGAGAAACCUAGAACGAUUUUUCAUGGGUUGCACGAUGGGGAGUUCAGUAAUAGGUAUCUAAGAUCGCAAAUUGAUGAUGAAGGAGCAUAACGCAAAAAUGUGAGGGUGGUGCCCUCCAAUCAAAUUAAUCUUUUAGGUUGGAUAGGCCAAUAUAUAUCUUGACAGCCAUUUUGUGGUUUCUCA